UUGCCUCUGUUUUCCAGAUGAGGCGCAGAGGCGGCAAAGGCGGAGAUGGAGGCGUUGAAGGCAGUGAAAGCGCGCCUUAAGGCGUGCUGAGCGUACGCCUGGGAAUUUUUUUUUUUUUUUUUUUUUAAAACACCAAAACGACGUCGUUUUGUUGUUUGAGAAUUAUAACUCAUUCAGGUCUCAAGCUGAAGUCAUUUUCGACUUCCUUCAGCCUUCUCCAUCAAAACUCCGACUCUUUCACUUCCAAAUCCGAAAUCCCAACCAGCAAAUUUGAUAAAAUCAUCAAGAGCCCAUGAGUUUUCUCAAGGAUUUGGCUCUAAAGGAGGCUCUUUUCGCACUUGGAGCAAGAGAUUUUCUCACUUGGAGAGUUGGAAUUGGAUUUGCAGCAAAGGAUUUAAGAUCAUCGUGAACCAACCUCGUUACUCCACCAGGGGAUCAUUGUAGUUGCUACACUCGGUACCGCCUAGUGCAGAUGGAAAUGCAAAGAUUUCCCAACUUUCUAUGUCUUCACGAUUAAUUCCAUCCAACCCUGCAAGUGUUUUCUUUAUCAUAUUUGUACUAUAUAUUGAAUAAUUAAAUAGGCUUUAUAGUCUUUAAAUAGGCUUUAUCAUAUUUCCUUUAUCAUAGUCUUUAAACCAAACAGUUCAUAGGCUUCUUUCUAGUACAAACAUGAUAAAGGAAACACUUGCAAGGUUGGAUGGAAAUAAGAAAACUUAAUUAGAGUAAAAGGAAAGCUGAGUAUAGUUGGCAUUAUUGUUUGCGUUCCACAGUUUUCCAUGAACAAAAUUUUACACAUUGUUUGAGGGACACACAUGUCUACUUCGAUAAUUCGAUUCAAAACUUCUUUAUCUCCAACCCCAACAGGCUAGGAUAGCUGAGAAUCCUCUGAUAAUUAAGCACUGUAUAUAAGUUGGUGAUACGUACUAGUGUAGUCACACUAUAUAUAAGCCUCUACCAUUUCAUGAAAAUGCAUUAGUUCUUAAUAGGUGCGCA